GACGAACGCUGGCGGCGUGCCUAAUACAUGCAAGUAGAACGCUGAAGGAGGAGCUUGCUCUUCUGGAUGAGUUGCGAACGGGUGAGUAACGCGUAGGUAACCUGCCUGGUAGCGGGGGAUAACUAUUGGAAACGAUAGCUAAUACCGCAUAACAGUAGAUGUUGCAUGACAUUUACUUAAAAGGUGCAAUUGCAUCACUACCAGGUGGACCUGCGUUGUAUUAGCUAGUUGGUGGGGUAACGGCUCACCAAGGCGACGAUACAUAGCCGACCUGAGAGGGUGAUCGGCCACACUGGGACUGAGACACGGCCCAGACUCCUACGGGAGGCAGCAGUAGGGAAUCUUCGGCAAUGGACGGAAGUCUGACCGAGCAACGCCGCGUGAGUGAAGAAGGUUUUCGGAUCGUAAAGCUCUGUUGUAAGAGAAGAACGAGUGUGAGAGUGGAAAGUUCACACUGUGACGGUAUCUUACCAGAAAGGGACGGCUAACUACGUA
rnacentral:rRNA from 1 species